CCUACGGGAGGCUGCAGUGGGGAAUAUUGCACAAUGGAGGAAACUCUGAUGCAGCGACGCCGCGUGAGUGAUGAAGGUCUUCGGAUCGUAAAACUUUGUCCUAGGGGAAGAUAGUGACGGUACCUUAGGAGGAAGCCCCGGCUAACUACGUGCCAGCAGCCGCGGUAAUACGUAGGGGGCAAGCGUUAUCCGGAAUUAUUGGGCGUAAAGGGUUCGCAGGCGGUUAUCCAAGUCAGGUGUGAAAUCCCGAGGCUUAACCUCGGUAAGCAUUUGAAACUGGAUAGCUUGAGUUAAGGAGAGGAAAGCGGAAUUCCUAGUGUAGCGGUGAAAUGCGUAGAUAUUAGGAGGAAUACCAGUAGCGAAGGCGACUUUCUGGCCUUAAACUGACGCUGAGGAACGAAAGCGUGGGUAGCAAACAGGAUUAGAUACCCUGGUAGUC
rnacentral:rRNA from 2 species